rnacentral:rRNA from 1 species
AGAGUUUGAUCCUGGCUCAGGAUGAACGCUAGCUACAGGCUUAACACAUGCAAGUCGAGGGGAAACGACAUCGAAAGCUUGCUUUCGAUGGGCGUCGACCGGCGCACGGGUGAGUAACGCGUAUCCAACCUGCCCAUCACUUGGGGAUAACCUUGCGAAAGUAAGACUAAUACCCAAUGACGUCUCUAGAAGACAUCUGAAGGAGAUUAAAGAUUUAUCGGUGAUGGAUGGGGAUGCGUCUGAUUAGCUUGUUGGCGGGGUAACGGCCCACCAAGGCGACGAUCAGUAGGGGUUCUGAGAGGAAGGUCCCCCACAUUGGAACUGAGACACGGUCCAAACUCCUACGGGAGGCAGCAGUGAGGAAUAUUGGUCAAUGGGCGAGAGCCUGAACCAGCCAAGUAGCGUGCAGGAUGACGGCCCUAUGGGUUGUAAACUGCUUUUAUAAGGGAAUAAAGUGAGCCUCGUGAGGCUUUUUGCAUGUACCUUAUGAAUAAGGACCGGCUAAUUCCGUGCCAGCAGCCGCGGUAAUACGGAAGGUCCGGGCGUUAUCCGGAUUUAUUGGGUUUAAAGGGAGCGUAGGCCGGAGAUUAAGCGUGUUGUGAAAUGUAGACGCUCAACGUCUGCACUGCAGCGCGAACUGGUUUCCUUGAGUACGCACAAAGUGGGCGGAAUUCGUGGUGUAGCGGUGAAAUGCUUAGAUAUCACGAAGAACUCCGAUUGCGAAGGCAGCUCACUGGAGCGCAACUGACGCUGAAGCUCGAAAGUGCGGGUAUCGAACAGAAUUAGAUACCCUGGUAGUCCGCACGGUAAACGAUGGAUGCCCGCUGUUGGUCUGAAUAGGUCAGCGGCCAAGCGAAAGCAUUAAGCAUCCCACCUGGGGAGUACGCCGGCAACGGUGA